ACAGGCAAUCAAGAAGUCCAUGGGCCGCUUACCAGCCAGCGGCCGGGUCGUGGGCAUCUCGGUACGUUUCGCCGCAGAACGCCGACGCUGGUCGCCGAAAUUACUACUACAGUAGCAGAUACCCAAGCGGAAACAGCUACCAUUCAGGAUACGGCGUUCCCAACGUCCCUGGUCCGUCUGGCUACCGUACGCAGAGCUACGGAUACCCACGGUCAGGUGCCCACCCAGCGCCGACCCGUCAUCCUCAAGGACGAUAAAGGGCGGAGCCGUCCUGUGCUUGGACCCCAACCUCCACAGACGUGGAGACGUGGACGAAGGGAACGAUCCUGGCUUGAAGGGCCACCCGGCCAGAAAAUUAUAGUAGUACCGAGGCACUGAGGGGCAGAUGUUUUCAUUAGAUGUUGGUGUAUAUUAAAAAAAUUAACAGCUUCGCACUCGUAGUGCCAAGCUGUCUUCCUUUUGCA